AUAGGAAAACAUUUUUAACCUGAAUGCUUAAAUCUCUGUUUAGGCUCUUAAAUAUAAGUGACCUGAUUUUCCAAGAUGCUUAGAGGAAGCUGCAGGCACACAGCACCUCGGAAAUCAACACAGGGAUUUGGAUGCGUAGCUUUAGGACCUCACAUUUGCAUUUUUCGGAGUAGAGCUGAACUUUAAGAUUCAUAGAAGAUGAAGAUUAAGCAUCACUAGAAGGACAUUUUAAAGUUGUGAUAAAGCACAAGAACUCCUCUUGCUUGAGCACAUACCGUUAUAGAAGAUGUGAAAGAAACAGCAGCAAGGGCUAUGGGUAAGCAGCGACCAAAACAGGUCCUGUGGAACAAAGCCCACUGCCAUACCAGCAGGACUUCCCAACACAGGAUUUCAGAAAUGGUGCCAAGAUCCUGGCAGAAGUAUAAGUUUUCCUGGGCAAUGGCAACCUAACACCUACUUUUCAUGCUGCAAAUCAGGGCCCAGGACAGUUUCUGCAAGAAUCCCCAGUCCACGAACCCCCAACUUAACAAUUCUCUGUCCUGGACAUCCAUGAAGAAAAAGGUGGGGGCACGGAUUCUGACUCAACAUGCAGAAGAGACUGCAAUUUGAAAUCAAUUGUAUUGGAUUUAGCCGAAAUGUCACCACCUCCCUCAGAUGCUGCAGCAGCAGCAUAUAUCAAAGCAGGCCCCAGAACAUUCAUCCUGGAUGUGAGGGGAAGAAAAUAUUCAAACAAAGUCUUUAGACAUGGAAAUAAGAAUUCAAAAGUGUACUGAUAAAGUAGAGACUUUUCCCUCAAGAAAAUAAAGCUUCCUCUGACUCUGGAGAAUGACUGAGAAGCCUGUCCAUGUCCCCUAUAGCUAUUUCCUUCAGCCUCUGAGGCAUGCAUGCCACGCACUUCGGGUAACACUGCUUUAACCACUACAGUAUGGUAUGUUUUUCAAAUGUUAGUAUAAUAACGUAACUCCUAUCUGGUAGUCUUAGUCAAUGAUUUGCAUGGCCUAAAGAACUAUUAAUUUAGAAUUAUUUCCAGAAAUGCCACUGAAGUGUCAAAUGCAAAUAAAAACAGUUUUAAGCUCUCAUACAUCUAAAUCCUCCAUUUUACACAUAAUAAAUGUACAUUCUCCAUAUCAGGCCCUCAGUAUUUAAAUAAAAGAUUUUGACGUAUUCCAAUACUGCACUUAGAAUAAGAUAGAUAACAUAUACUGAAAAAACAAGUUGUAUUCUAUGGACACUAUUUCUAUAAAUACUAAUUCACAAAAAUAAACCUUGAACUGUUG